AAAGGCUUACCAAGGCGACGAUCAGUAGCUGGUCUGAGAGGACGACCAGCCACACUGGGACUGAGACACGGCCCAGACUCCUACGGGAGGCAGCAGUGGGGAAUUUUGGACAAUGGGGGAAACCCUGAUCCAGCCAUGCCGCGUGAGUGAAGAAGGCCUUCGGGUUGUAAAGCUCUUUCAGCCGGAACGAAACGGUCACGGCUAAUACCUGUGACUACUGACGGUACCGGAAGAAGAAG
rnacentral:rRNA from 1 species